AAUAGAUUAGAUUAUUACAUUAGAAAUAAUUUAAGGUAAGUAAGUAGCGUGGUAUUGUGAUAGAGGUUUCAAACUCAGGAACUGGAAUUAUAGUCUGGGAAAUUGAUUGAGUUUCAUCCACAGCAGGGGAGGGGCCUCAGGGGAUGUUCUGGAACCUGGGAAGAGCAAGAGUUUUCUAUCAGAGAGAGGCAGUUAGCUCUCUCAAUCCUGAGAGCCUAAGGAGAGGUCUGGUCAAGACUUUGCUCCUGAGAAAAAAACUUACAUCUUCCUCCUAGUGAUUGGAUACCCUUCCCCCCACAGAUUCCCACUUGAAGUUGGGAGUGUUAGAGAAUACACCAAGCAGCUGACAAGAUUACCUCUCAGCUCCUGGUGCCCGGGGUCUGAAGUGUGCCUGUGGGGCCAAGACCAGGGCCAUCCAAGCCUGAAUCUCUCAGGGGCCCAAGGCUACCAAGAUCUGUGUUCCCCAACUUGAGGAAGGAGACAAACCCUCUAUUACAGUAUCCGGCUGAUUCCAUGCUAAAAGACAAACUGGAGGAGUUGUGAUAGGGGAAUGAUCCAGAGACCUUGAAGGGCAGAGCCUGGAAGACAUGCAAAGAGCUUACUUAUCUUUCAAAGCCAUUUCAAUUUCUCCCUCAUUCAUGAAAUACUCCCUGAUGACUUUGACCCUCUGAUCUCUCUUCCUUUUGAUGUCCCACUUGAGGAAACUUUAUUGUAUUCUGCCGUAAUCACUUGGCAGGAUUGGAUGGUUUUCAUGGUUGAAAGAGGCGAAGGUCAGUGCAGAGGAAGGGUUCCAUCCAUACUUGACCUGUUGCCAGGCCUGGUAACCUACAUCUAUUACAUCUAA
rnacentral:lncRNA from 1 species